rnacentral:rRNA from 1 species
GUGGCGAACGGGUGAGUAGCACGUGAGCAACCUGCCCCGAAGACCGGGACAACACCGGGAAACCGGUGCUAAUACCGGAUAUCCCCACCGAGUCGCAUGGCUUGGUGAGGAAAUGGAUUCCGCUUCGGGAGGGGCUCGCGGCCUAUCAGCUUGUUGGUGAGGUAACGGCUCACCAAGGCUUCGACGGGUAGCUGGUCUGAGAGGACGAUCAGCCACACUGGACUGAGACACGGCCCAGACUCCUACGGGAGGCAGCAGUGGGGGAUCUUGCACAAUGGGCGAAAGCCUGAUGCAGCAACGCCGCGUGAGGGACGAAGGCUUUCUGAGUUGUAAACCUCUUUCAGCAGGGACGAUUGUGACGGUACCUGCAGAAGAAGCCCCGGCCAACUACGUGCCAGCAGCCGCGGUAAUACGUAGGGGGCAAGCGUUGUCCGGAUUUAUUGGGCGUAAAGAGCUCGUAGGCGGCUUGGCAAGUCGGAUGUGAAACCUCCAGGCUCAACCUGGAGUCGCCAUUCGAUACUGCCAUGGCUAGAGUUUGGUAGGGGACCACGGAAUUCCUGGUGUAGCGGUGAAAUGCGCAGAUAUCAGGAGGAACACCAGCGGCGAAGGCGGUGGUUUGGGCCAAUACUGACGCUGAGGAGCGAAAGCGUGGGGAGCGAACAGGAUUAGAUACCCUGGUAGUCCACGCCGUAAACGUUGGGCACUAGGUGUGGGGACCUAUCGACGGUUUCUGUGCCGCA